CAUCCGCUGGUGGUAGCGGCUGUCCAUCAGGAUGCUGUCGGACUGGCGCCUCGUCAGAAGCUCGGGCACCCCUUCUUCUGGGCUGCCUUCACUGUUCCUGUGAUGCGAAGACGGGAACCGUCUUGGUUUCAGAGGUGCAGAACGGGUAGCUCCAGAUAAGCUGAGCAGCGUGUGAAAUGGGCCUGCUCAUCCUGGGAGGCUGAAACUAAUGUCAGGAAGAAGUAACCCAUCAAAUGACAAAAACAUCGCUUCCUAUUCUCAGCUGUCAAGGGCUUUUCUGCACUCCUCCAGAAUGUCACAGACGGGGACUGUUGGCCUCCAGUUUCUCUAAGCCCCAGUACUCCUGAUGGAGCCACACACAACUGUUUCCUGUGGGUUUCUUUUACUCGAGAGAUGUGGUGGUGGCCCACUUAUCACAAGUGUCCUAAUGGUACAUUACACAGAACUAAGAAGAUUAGAAGCUUUAUUUUCUGCCUAAGUUUGCCACCUUAGAGAUAGGCUGGGACAUAUCUGAGUUCAAAUUUCUUAUCCCGCAUAGCAGACUGAUGACAUAUUAUAAAUAAAUUGACCAUUACUACAUUGUC